rnacentral:misc_RNA from 1 species
GUGAAUCAUCAAAUUUUUGAACGCAAAUUGCACUCUCUUCGGAGAGUAUGCCUGUUUGAGGGUCAGCCUAAAAAAAAAUCGACAUAGUCGCUUUUUCGCGGUGACAUUCGCCGGAACUUGGGUUAUCUUAAUCCGUUGGGUUUUAAGCGGCUUAAAAUUUUCUUUACGCUUCCACGAACGUUUCUACGUUUUACUUCUUAUACGUUUAUGUUAUCG